UGAGCUGGGGGUGGCCGCAGAGACCAGCGAGAAGCGACUGUUUACUAAAAACACAGGUCCGUGCGAAGCCGUAAGGCGAUGUAUACGGACUGACGCCUGCCCGGUGCUGGAACGUUAAGGGGACCGGUUAGCUCUGAUUCGUCAGGGCGAAGCUGAGAACUUAAGCGCCAGUAAACGGCGGUGGUAACUAUAACCAUCCUAAGGUAGCGAAAUUCCUUGUCGGGUAAGUUCCGACCUGCACGAAUGGCGUAACGACUUCUCGACUGUCUCAACCAUAGGCCCGGUGAAAUUGCACUACGAGUAAAGAUGCUCGUUUCGCGCAGCAGGACGGAAAGACCCCGGGACCUUUACUACAGUUUGAUAUUGGUGUUCGGUUCGGCUUGUGUAGGAUAGCUGGGAGACUGUGAAGCUCACACGCCAGUGUGGGUGGAGUCGUCGUUGAAAUACCAGUCUGGUCGUGCUGGAUGUCUAACCUGGGUCCGUGAUCCGGAUCAGGGACAGUGUCUGAUGGGUAGUUUAACUGGGGCGGUUGCCUCCUAAAGGGUAACGGAGGCGCCCAAAGGUUCCCUCAGCCUGGUUGGCAAUCAGGUGUUGAGUGUAAGUGCACAAGGGAGCUUGACUGUGAGACCGACGGGUCGAGCAGGGACGAAAGUCGGGACUAGUGAUCCGGCGGUGGCUUGUGGAAGCGCCGUCGCUCAACGGAUAAAAGGUACCCCGGGGAUAACAGGCUGAUCUUCCCCAAGAGUCCAUAUCGACGGGAUGGUUUGGCACCUCGAUGUCGGCUCGUCGCAUCCUGGGGCUGGAGUCGGUCCCAAGGGUUGGGCUGUUCGCCCAUUAAAGCGGUACGCGAGCUGGGUUUAGAACGUCGUGAGACAGUUCGGUCCCUAUCCGCUGUGCGCGUAGGAGUCUUGAGAAGGGCUGUCCCUAGUACGAGAGGACCGGGACGGACGAACCUCUGGUGUGCCAGUUGUUCUGCCAAGGGCAUGGCUGGUUGGCUACGUUCGGGAGGGAUAACCGCUGAAAGCAUCUAAGCGGGAAGCCUGCUUCGAGAUGAGGACUCCCACCUCCUAGAGAGGGUAAGGCUCCCAGUAGACGACUGGGUUGAUAGGCCGGAUAUGGAAGCCAGGUAACUGGUGGAGUUGACCGGUACUAAUAGGCCGAGGGCUUGUCCUCAGUUG
rnacentral:rRNA from 1 species